rnacentral:tRNA from 1 species
GGUGUAUGUAGUUCAGUUGGUUAGAAUUCUGGCUUGUGACGUCAGAGGUCGGUGAGUUCGAAUCUCCCCAUACACCCCAA